GCUUGAGCAGGUUGCAGGAGAACACCUUCUACUACCUGUCACCCAUGUUGUCUGUGGCCAUCUGUCUGGGCACACUGCAGCUAAUCCUCAUCACACACUCGUUUUAUAUGUGUAGAGCCGUUAGCAAGGCCAUGAAGGUUGCUACGGUAGACUGAUGCAGUGGGUGGAGAACCACGUCAACCUGCUCAUGGGGAUCGGCAUAGGUGUGGGCCUCUUUGAACUUCUCUCGAUGGUGUUUGCCUUCUGUCUGUGUUCCUCUCUAAAUCACAAGAUCAAGUGACGCCAGCAACAACACAAGCUCAGCACUGACUAGCAAGGGACAUAAUAGUGUGCAGUCGACCAUCUAGACAGUGUCUGAGAACACUGUAGAACUAUGAGAGGACAAAGGAAAAGAACUUGAUGUUAUGCAAGUUCUGGGAAAGGGGUGAAUGAGAUCAUAUCAAUGAAAGAAGACAAAGUGUUCGACAAUAAUCCUGAUAGAACUGUUCUUUGUGUGUGUGUUACUGCAGUAUAUUCAUUCUAGCUCUUAAAUUACAAAGACAAAAAAUAUACCAAAGGUUUCAUUUUUGAAAAGUUAAGCUGUGAAAAUAGACACAUAAAAUUUUUAAAGUAAUACAGUAUAUAAAAGUGGAUUAUAUUUUCCUGUGCGUGAGUCAAAUUUACACCGGCCUUCCCAGAAACACGACAUAUCGUCAUAGCUUUCAUGUCAACCAAGAAGCAGACAGAUUCAGGCUUGUUACCGAGGUAGAGCGCCAGAGAAUUAAGUCUCUCCCUCACAUUUCUUCUUGUCCCAGAUUUAUCCUCUUCAGAUUUUCAUUUCCUCAGUCUUUCUUAUCCAUAUAUCUAACUUCCUCCUGUAUAACCCUAUUUUGUAAUCCUCUUACCCUGUUAUACAAUUUUUCCUAGGUCUCAUUUCUUGCCUAACAAUUUCUCUUUCCAUUCUCCGUUACAUCCCGUUUUGUUAUUUUCCUAAUCAUUCCUCGGUCCCUAUGAUUUUUUUCCCCCUCAAAUGUCUGUAUUAUUAUUCCAACAAAUAAAUGAAAAACCCAAUUUUCCGUCAUCACUCAGGCGGUAACAGGACCAAGCUUAGUCACUCAACCCUCUGGACCAUCAGU
rnacentral:lncRNA from 1 species